rnacentral:rRNA from 1 species
UGAGGUUAAGCGAGUAAGCGUACACGGAGGAUGCCCUGGCAGUCAGAGGCGAUGAAGGACGUGCUAAUCUGCGAUAAGCGCCGGUAAGGUGAUAUGAACCGUUAUAAC